UACAGAGACUGCAAGCGUUAUUCGGAUUCACUGGGCGUAAAGGGUGCGCAGGCGGCCAAGUGUGUGAGGCGUGAAAGCCCGGGGCUUAACCCCGGAAUUGCACCUAAAACUACUUGGCUAGAGCAUUGGAGAGGGUAGCGGAAUUCACGGUGUAGCAGUGAAAUGCGUAGAUAUCUGGAAGAACACCAAUGGCGAAGGCAAUGUUCUGGCUCGUUUCUGACGCUCAGGUGCGAAAGCCAGGGGAGCGAACGGG
rnacentral:rRNA from 1 species